UACGGAGGGUGCAAGCGUUAUCCGGAUUCACUGGGCUUAAAGGGUGCGUAGGCGGGCAGGUAAGUCCGUGGUGAAAUCUCUGAGCUUAACUCAGAAACUGCCAUGGAUACUAUUUGUCUUGAAUAUUGUGGAGGUGAGCGGAAUAUGUCAUGUAGCGGUGAAAUGCUUAGAUAUGACAUAGAACACCAAUUGCGAAGGCAGCUCACUACACAGUCAUUGACGCUGAUGCACGAAAGCGUGGGGAUCAAACAGG
rnacentral:rRNA from 1 species